AACGAACGCUGGCGGCAUGCCUAACACAUGCAAGUCGAACGAAGCCUUCGGGCUUAGUGGCGCACGGGUGCGUAACGCGUGGGAAUCUGCCCUUUGGUUCGGAAUAACAGUUGGAAACGACUGCUAAUACCGGAUGAUGACGAAAGUCCAAAGAUUUAUCGCCAGAGGAUGAGCCCGCGUAGGAUUAGCUAGUUGGUGUGGUAAAGGCGCACCAAGGCGACGAUCCUUAGCUGGUGUGAGAGGAUGAUCAGCCACACUGGGACUGAGACACGGCCCAGACUCCUACGGGAGGAAGCAGUGGGGAAUAGUGGACAAUGGGCGAAAGCCUGAUCCGGCAAUGCCGCGUGAGUGAUGAAGGCCCUAGGGUUGUAAAGCUCUUUUACCCGGGAUGAUAAUGACAGUACCGGGAGAAUAAGCCCCGGCUAACUCCGUGCCAGCCGCCGCGGUAA
rnacentral:rRNA from 1 species